rnacentral:rRNA from 1 species
GACGGAGGGUGCGAGCGUUGUUCGGAUUGACUGGGCGUAAAGGGCGUGUAGGCGGUCGGCCAAGUCUGGUGUGAAAGCCCGGGGCUCAGCUCCGGAAGUGCGCCGGAAACUAGCUGGCUGGAGCGCGGUAGAGGAGGGUGGAAUUCCUGGUGUAGCGGUGAAAUGCGUAGAUAUCAGGAGGAACACCGGCGGCGAAAAGCGGCUCACUGGACCAUUACUGACGCUGAUGCACGAAAGCUAGGGGAGCAAACAGG